AGUGAACGCUGGCGGUAGGCCUAACACAUGCAAGUCGAACGGCAGCACAGUAAGAGCUUGCUCUUACGGGUGGCGAGUGGCGGACGGGUGAGGAAUACAUCGGAAUCUACUUUUUCGUGGGGGAUAACGUAGGGAAACUUACGCUAAUACCGCAUACGACCUACGGGUGAAAGCAGGGGAUCUUCGGACCUUGCGCGAUUGAAUGAGCCGAUGUCGGAUUAGCUAGUUGGCGGGGUAAAGGCCCACCAAGGCGACGAUCCGUAGCUGGUCUGAGAGGAUGAUCAGCCACACUGGAACUGAGACACGGUCCAGACUCCUACGAGAGGCAGCAGUGGGGAAUAUUGGACAAUGGGCGCAAGCCUGAUCCAGCCAUACCGCGUGGGUGAAGAAGGCCUUCGGGUUGUAAAGCCCUUUUGUUGGGAAAGAAAAGCAGCAGGUUAAUACCCCGCUGUUCUGACGGUACCCAAAGAAUAAGCACCGGCUAACUUCGUGC
rnacentral:rRNA from 1 species